rnacentral:lncRNA from 1 species
CUUCACUCAACGAGCAGAGCAUCCAACAUGGCGCUGCGGCCGCCUCCAGCAGUCCAGCAGGACGGCCGCUCGGAAAACUUCGGUCCUUUCCGGAAUAGCUCGGCAGACCGAGGGUGGGAAGCCCCUUCGGCUCUUUUCGGAGCUGGCCAGCGUUCGGAAUUUUUCGGAAGCUCUCGGACGUGUCUUCGGCAGCAGUUCGGGGAACGCUGUGGGGCUGGUUUGGUUCCUGGGGAGAGGUCGGCGAAGGGUCUUCUCAGGAUCGUCUCGGCGAGUGUGGGGCGGAGGGAGAGAUCAAAGGCGAGGUCUGGCCAGCAAGAGCCCUCCCCUCCGGCCCAGCCUGGAGGAACAAUGGCAACGGCCCGGAGCCUGAGGUCCACAGAGCCCUGCCCGCAGGGGCAGCGAGGCGAGAAACCCCGGUUCCUGUGAAAGGAACCGCUGAACCAGAGCGAAGCUGGGGAGAGGAACCUCCCGCCCCAGACGCGUUAGCACAAUCCCACUCGGCAGCCCUUGACACAGUUCACACCUAUUAUGUUGACACGCCCUCCAUCUGAGAGAUAAACAGAAUGAAUGGCCCCAUGUUCCAAAGGAGACCUAGAGAGGAAAAUGACUGGUCCAAUGUCAUCUAGCCGGGAAGGGACAGAACCAAGCCAGGAUCUGAAUUCUACCUUCAUCAGGAAGAAAGUUGCCGACUCCCAAGUUGCCUGGGGACAUGAUCUGACGAUCUUGUCUAAUCUCCAGCCUUGACCGAGGGCUCUGUGAAUCAAUUUUUCCCAAGGCCAAGGCCUACCCAGGAGGGAGCACCCUUUAGCCGGCAGCCAGUGGUCGGUUCCCAACGUCCUAUGCUGAGGUAACACCUGUUGAUAAAGUCCUUUUUCCCCAGGUGGGCCUGCCGAGAUCGCUGCCACUGGCUCACCCCAAUGCCAGGGGGUCCCUAGUCCAAGCACACAGCAUUGAAUGAAAAGGAGUCACAGGCAGCACGGAGCAAUCCAGGGUUUGGCAGUCAUCUCCCUUCUUCCCUGCUCUCAUCUCCCACUGAAAUGCAGACAUUGAAGACGACCCUUGAUGCUCACCUUUUAUGACAGCUAAUAAGUGGUAUUAAGAGUCCAGGUUCCUCAGCUGGAUCACAUCUGGUUUUUGCCAAUCUUGACACCCCAGUUUCCACCAUUUCUGUACCAACAUGAACCCUGAACAGCCACGCACUUUCAUGUCUCCAUGGCUUUCCAUGUACUAUCCCCUUCCUCCUGGAGUGUCUCCUGCUCCUGGAUUGCCUAGAAGCUCCUAUUCAUCCCUCAAAACCUAUCAUCUUAUGGGACAGACUUUCCUCAGUUCCUCUCUUCCUCCUCUAGAUAGAUUUCAUUGCUCCCUCCCAAACCAGGUAUAAUCCCAGUACUCUGGGAGGCUGGGGCAAGAGGAGCCCAAAUUCCAGCCUAGACCAAGAGAGUAUGUAAAGGUGCAUAUCUCCAAUGAUGAAUGUCAUUAUAUUAUACACCUAAAAUGUACCAAUAAAAGGAUAUACAAAAAAAAGAGAGAGAAUCCCUGGGCCCCCUGCUCAAGGAAGACCCAGUAGGAAAUUUGUUCCCAAGGAUUCUUUCCACUCUGCUCAUCCAUCAAGGCUCUCAGAGAUUGCUGCAGCCAGGGUCCAAG